rnacentral:rRNA from 1 species
UACGGAGGGUGCAAGCGUUGUUCGGAAUCACUGGGCGUAAAGCGCGUGUAGGCGGCCUCCUCAGUCUGGUGUGAAAGCCCGGGGCUCAACCCCGGAAGUGCAUUGGAUACUGGGAGGCUGGAGUACCGGAGAGGAGGGUGGAAUUCCUGGUGUAGCGGUGAAAUGCGUAGAUAUCAGGAGGAACACCCGUAGCGAAGGCGGCCGACUGGACCACACCUGACGCUGAGGCGCGAAGGCCAGGGGAGCGAACGGG